rnacentral:misc_RNA from 1 species
AACGCACGAGACCUGCGGACCUGCGGAAGGAUCAUUACAUGGCGGAGGAGGUGGGCACCUAGUAAAACAAAACCCUAGGUGUGUUGCCUACCACGCUUUCUACCCUUGUCUAUUUGCACCUUUUGUCGUUCCCUCGGUGGGUCUUGAACCUGCCGGCGGCAACUUUCAAAAACCUUUUGUAGUUAGUAUCUAAUUCUUCUGAUCAAAUAUUCAAUCGUUACAACUUUUAACAAUGGAUCU